AUGACUGAAUCUCCCAGAAAGGCGAUUAUGCAGCCUCCGCUUAUCACUGCUUUCUUGCCUAGAUGUCUGAUGACUUCAGCCAAGGACACCACAGAGAGGAAGGCUCAAUUUCGAAGAGUCUUGAUGAGGGUCACGGCAGGAAGAAUGGAUUGGGAAAUGAGACAGAAUGCAGAAAGUGAAAUGAAAGGAGGAGUGAGGAUAAAGUGUGCUAACCCUGACAGAGAAGCACCAUGGACACAAGAGCAAGAGUCAUGGUGCAUGGAUGUAAUGGAAAAUCAUCUGCAAGAAGCAAUGGACAUAAUGAAUUCAGAAAAGCAUCUACAGAUACAAAGUGAAGUGAUUGGAGACUCUGACCUUGUGAGUUCUGAAUGGUGGGGAGACCAAGCAUCCUGGGCAGCCUGGUAUCUCAAUUUUGUGGCCAGACCAGCACUGAUGCCCCAAAGAACAAAUAAUUACCUUUGGCAGUGGUCCAGUCCAGUUGCAGCCAAGAUAAAAAUUCUUCUGGAAGUUAUUCACAUUUGGACAGGAAGUUGGUGGUACCAACCAUAUGGAUAAACUGAGCUGAGUCUAAGCAUACUCUCCCUAGAGACCAAAGUGGGCUGGAGAAGCAUGUGCUUUCUAAGUAUUAUGAGAGAUAUUUGUAAUUUUGUAUGUGCUCAAAUUAAACAUCUCUUUAUAAGAGCUGAUUAAUUUAAAGUAGUUGAAUGGAUCUGGGGUGCUAGUUAUAUACCUCACAGAAGGAAAGAAUACAGCCAAUAGAAGUCUUUCCUGGGUAAUUGUCCUGGCCAUGAGUGAACUAGAGUUUACAUUAGCACUUAAUGGUGUUUGGGUAGGGAAGGUCAGAUGGAUUUAUAUGGAAAUCAGUUAGUCAUUAAGCAUUAUUAAACAUAGAUUAAAUGCCUACUAAGCAUCAGCCAUUGUGCUAGGGACUGGGGAGGAG
rnacentral:lncRNA from 1 species